GAAGCAGAGCUUAUGGCAAUAUUUACCUGGGAUGUAAACCCCAUAUGUUAUUCACUCAGCGUGAGCUAGAUCUAAAAAGGCAAUGUUUCUGUUUCGGUAAUGCAAUUUGAUGUGGCCCUUCCCAGAAUAAGCCUCUCAUGUGGAAAGACUCAUAUGAAACUAGACAUGUGGAAUUGAAUGGUGGGUGACUUUGUUUGUUGUUGUUAAUAACGGAAAACAUGACUUUAAUGCUUGGGUGUAUUUUUCUCAGCCUCCGAAAAAACAUCCACAAGCUGCUGAUGACCGGCUGAAACCUCAGCUCGUCCUCCUUCAGGGGCCGGUAUUAUUCAAAGGCCUGCAUCGGCGUCCACAGACACAGCCAUGUACAGGCUACCGGGUCAUACAGCACCGCACACAGCCCCGCGCACACAUCUGAUACUCUUUCCAGAAUCUCCCAAACAUGCCACUCGCUCUGUCUCAUUUAUGUUCCCCCACCACUUUGUGUGUGUAUGGAGGGGCGCAGGCGCAUACACCCUGGAUAAGCAAACAGAGGCCAGAGAAGGAGGUCAAGAUAAGUUCUCACUGAAGCAGAGGUUCCUCGUUUCAUCUAGACUGAGACCCAGACAGCCACUCUCAUUGUCCCCUGAGGGUUAUCGGCAACUCAGUGAUGCCCAGCUUUUUUGACGUGGGUGCUAUCGACUGAAACUCAUUCUUGCAGAGCAAGCACUCCUGCUCACUGAACCAUCUUCCCAACCAUCCCCCACUGCCCCUCCUUGAAGUAGGGUCUCACUCUGGAGCCCAUACUUGAAAUAAAUUCUCCCACCUCCGCCACCUGAGUGUGCACUAGGAUUAUAGGUGUAUGCUUCCAUGCCUGCUUCUCCUGUCACUUUGAAAGAUGAGAGGUUCUUGUUUUCUUGACAGAAACAGAAAUCAUUUAAACACCAGUUCUGCUUCCCGAGGGAACUCUGAAUCUGCUCCCCAUUGGGCGGCAGCAGCUUUCCCAUGGAACCCUGGGUUAGCAGGCUUGGACCUGCCACUUCUGGCCGCCACUCUCCUGUGGCUGGCUGGCAGGCUCAGUUUUCAGGUAUUGUCACAUGUCACAGCCUGCUAAUCUGGCCUUUGCCUCGCUGAAGAAUGCUGAGAAGAAAUACGUCAGUCAGCUGGCUGUUUGUCACACAGCCAUAAAGGCUCAUCCAGGGGUGCUGAGAAAUGGUUCACGUGGCUUUUGUCUGCCUGUAACAAGGCUCCUGGAGCAACUAAUCUCAUCAGCUCACCCUUCAGACUCCGGUGUCAGCUGCUCAGGGAACGGUUUACCCACAGCUGCUGAUGAGUUCCCAGUAGGACCCAUUUCUGGUUGCAAGGGCUUGGUACAGAAGAAAAAAAAAAAACAAAGCAAAACAACGAACAAACGAAACACAGGCAAUGAAGGUUGUCCUCCCAAAUCUCAACACAAUGAUUCCACCAGAAGCCUAAGGAAUUGUCUCAUCAACCAGAGCAGAUGGACAGCACGGGAGACAGCUAGAGUGGACCUUAGGAGUCAAGGUCAACUGGAGGCCUCUCUUGCCUGGAAUGAAAGGUGCCGCUGGCUGGAAAGAUGCCCCUCUCCCAGAGGCCAGACUAGACGUCAGCAGCUUCUGAGUUCCCAGGCUCUGGAAGUGGAUCUCAGCCCAGUCCCUCCAUCACAGUCGUUCACAAGCUGAUCCUCAACUAGGGGCUGAGUGCCCUUCCCACAGGAGCCUGGGGAGGCUCUGGUUAGUCCUGCCCUUCCCAAGGUCACCCUGGGCAGCCAGCCAAAGAAACAAUUUAUGGAAGAAGCAGGAGCAAUAAUAUAAAUUAUUUUUUAACUAACCCUCAGUUAUCUGAUCACCCUGGGUCUCUGCUCAGGAUAAAAAUCCCAAGAGUUAAACACACUUCAAGAAGAGGUAGCUUCGCUUCUUCUCCGGGGCACAGUCAGAGGCUGGGCGUUACACCUAUAAAACUUGCCCUCCUCUGCUGAGCCAUCUGUGUAAUGAAAAGGUGGAGGGGGCUGGGGAUGUGCUCAGUGGUAGAGCGCUUGCCCGGCAUGUGGCAGGGCCUGGGUUUGAUUUCCAGGGAAGGCCCAGGUCAAGAGGUGGGGAUAGAAAGAACAAAGUACUUAAAAAGGAAUUAAAAAAAAAAAUACUGUCCUGGUUUUCUUUCUAAGAAAUGAACGGGUCACGGGGACUCCUGACUCAUUUGUUUGAACAGUUAAGGGACUGGGAGUGGGGAUGCCAUUUAACCCCUCUUGGGACAGACAGAUGUCUUGAUAAACUUGCCAGGGAAACACAGCAAAUUCCAAAGGCAAGGCUAAAACCAUGUGCCUUCAACUUAGACCUGUUUCCAGAAAUUUGCUCCUCCAUGCCCCAGAGAGAAUGAUGAAAUCCCAAUAAAUGGGGAACUUUGUUAAUAACUAGGAUCUAUGUGGUAUUUCUGCAAAGCUAUCCUGCCAGACCCUAGUGAGUCUUCUGGGAGAGUAGCAACAUGUCCUUAGGGAGACAUUUCGGUAGUAAAUUUCCUCUCUUUGUUAAUCUUUUUCCCUUUUCAGCAGUUCCAGCCAUUUGUGUGCUUGUGUGUUGCUUUAAUAUAUAUAGCAUAUGUUAUAUAUGUUGUUAUAAUAUAUAUUUAAUAUAUAUUGUUUUAGAAACCUGACUUUAUGUGCCCACAAGCCUGCAAAUACCUGUAGAGACCAGAGAGCCUCCGAUCCCCUGGAGCUGGGAGUUCCAGGUUAUCUUAGUUGUA